AACGCAAAUUGCGCCCGAGGCUUCGGCCGAGGGCAUGUCUGCCUCAGCGUCGGUAUACCCCCUCGCCCUCUCCUCCCCCUGUGGGAUCAGAGGCGCGGACCUGGCCCUCCCGGCUCCGCCGCCCUUCGGGGCGGCGUCCGGGUGGGCUGAAGCACAGAGGCUUGAGCAUGGACCCCGUUUGCAGGGCAAUGGCUUGGUAGGUAGGCACCCCCUACGCAGCCUGCCGUUGCCCGAGGGGACUUUGCUGGCGGCCCAGCAGGAAUUCGGGUCGGCGUCCUGCGCCGGCUCGAACACUCUUACCUUCGACCUGAGCUCAGGCAAGACUACCCGCUGAACUUAA
rnacentral:misc_RNA from 1 species